rnacentral:rRNA from 1 species
AGCGAACGCUGGCGGCAGGCUUAACACAUGCAAGUCGAGCGGGCACUUUCGGGUGUCAGCGGCGGACGGGUGGGUACCGCGUGGGAACGUGCCCCCUGGUUCGGAAUAACUCAGGGAAACUUGAGCUAAUACCGGAUACGCCCUUUUGGGGUAAGGCUUGCUGCCGCAGGAUCGGCCCGCGUCUGAUUAGCUAGUUGGUGAGGUAACGGCUCACCAAGGCGACGAUCAGUAGCUGGUCUGAGAGGAUGAUCAGCCACACUGGGACUGAGACACGGCCCAGACUCCUACGGGAGGCAGCAGUGGGGAAUAUUGGAAAAUGGGCGCAAGCCUGAUGCAGCCAUGCCGCGUGAGUGAUGAAGGCCGUAGGGUUGUAAAGCUCUUUUAUCCGGGACGAUAAUGACGGUACCGGAGGAAUAAGCCCCGGCUAACUUCGUG